rnacentral:rRNA from 1 species
AACGCUAGCUACAGGCUUAACACAUGCAAGUUGAGGGGCAGCAUGGUCUUAGCUUGCUAAGGCCGAUGGCGACCGGCGCACGGGUGAGUAACACGUAUCCAACCUGCCGUCUACUCUUGGACAGCCUUCUGAAAGGAAGAUUAAUACAAGAUGGCAUCAUGAGUCCGCAUGUUCACAUGAUUAAAGGUAUUCCGGUAGACGAUGGGGAUGCGUUCCAUUAGAUAGUAGGCGGGGUAACGGCCCACCUAGUCUUCGAUGGAUAGGGGUUCUGAGAGGAAGGUCCCCCACAUUGGAACUGAGACACGGUCCAAACUCCUACGGGAGGCAGCAGUGAGGAAUAUUGGUCAAUGGGCGAGAGCCUGAACCAGCCAAGUAGCGUGAAGGAUGACUGCCCUAUGGGUUGUAAACUUCUUUUAUAAAGGAAUAAAGUCGGGUAUGUAUACCCGUUUGCAUGUACUUUAUGAAUAAGGAUCGGCUAACUCCGUGCCAGCAGCCGCGGUAAUACGGAGGAUCCGAGCGUUAUCCGGAUUUAUUGGGUUUAAAGGGAGCGUAGAUGGAUGUUUAAGUCAGUUGUGAAAGUUUGCGGCUCAACCGUAAAAUUGCAGUUGAUACUGGAUAUCUUGAGUGCAGUUGAGGCAGGCGGAAUUCGUGGUGUAGCGGUGAAAUGCUUAGAUAUCACGAAGAACUCUGAUUG